UUUGCUUCUCGGCCUUUUGGCUAAGAUCAAGUGUAGUGUGUAGUGUAGUAUUAAAGAAUGUUUAUGCUGCUACAUAUAAAAAUGCAUGCCUAUAGUAAGAUAGUAUUUCCAUCAUCAUUACCAAAACACUUUUACUUGUU